ensembl:rRNA 5S_rRNA 5S ribosomal RNA
GUCUACGGCCAUACCACCCUGAACGCGCCGGAUCUCGUCUGAUCUCAGAAGCUAAGCAGGGUCGGGCCUGGUUAGUACUUGGAUGGGAGAAUGCCUUGUUACUAUUUCCC